GCGACGGGCAGGGGCAGCGACCGGCGGCGACCGCCUCUCCGGCGACCUGCGGCCUGCGGCCACGCCGGCCAGGCCACGCCCAACCUCGCGCCCUCGCAGUCGCAGCUACUGCCAGUGUUGAAAGGGUAUUCUCCUCCAUGAAUUAUGUGAAGAAUAAGCUAAGAAACAAGAUGGGUGAUGAUUACUUAAACAAUUGCAUGGUUACAUUUGUUGAGAGAGAAUUAUUCAAUCAAGUGAAGGAUGAGGAUGUCAUCAAUCUCUUCCAAAAGGGUGCCCGCAAAGUUAUAUUGUAAGAGGUACUUCCUCUUUCCAUUGAAAUUUGUUGUUGUACUUCGAUUUGUAUGGAUUUAAGAACUUUAGUAUUAUGUAUUGUACUGGAAUAAUUGUUAUAGUUCUACUGAAAUUAUUGUCCAA